rnacentral:lncRNA from 1 species
GUUCCACGUAAGGAGGAAGUCUCACAGGGAACGCCUUUCCGACUCAGAGGUGUGGAGACACAGCCCGGCAACGAAAGAAGGAGAAGCAACUCCCUGGGAAGAGGGAACCACAGAGGAGCGUUCCUUGUCUAGACUGGCUCCCGCACAGAUCUGGGCAGUACCAGUUCCAGCAGAUACUUUCUCUGGUUGGAUCUCUGCUUCAAGCCCACCACGGCAUCUCUGCUGCGGGUGCAGCUCCAGCCUCACAGACGUGGAGAAACAGAGCAGUUCUGCAGGACCAUCCAUUACAGAUGGUUGUGCCAGUGGUGAAGACAAAAGAAGGCUUUGAUUGCAUUUUGAACCAGAUUGUUUAAGUUGACUGUAUUACAGUACUUCUUCACAAUGGAGCAGCAAGCACAGAUGAGAAAUACCUUUCUACACUAGUACUG